CGCACAGCCACAGAGACAGAGCGAACCCGCAGCUACAGGGAAUACAGACGAGGGGAGGAACACAAUACAGCGCUCUUUUGUUUUGUAGAAGCAGUUUAUGGGACGGACAGACGUGUGAAGGCCAGCGACGUGGAAGACCUCAUCGCAGAGACGCUGAGAUUCACGCCUCACACAGGAGGAAAGGAGCGACAGGCAACUUCGUGGAACUGACAGUGAAGCCGGGCAAUCAUUCCUCUGAAGUGAGCUUUUGAAUUCUUAUAAACACUCUGGGUUUCAAGUUCAGUAUCAGUUUUGGAUGCAUUUCUAAUAAACCUCAUGUGACCUCUCCAUGCGCUUACACACACACACACUGACACACACAGACUUUUUUUA